rnacentral:tRNA from 1 species
GGGGCUAUAGCUCAGUUGGGAGAGCGCCUGGUUCGCAAUCAGGAGGUCGCCGGUUCGAGCCCGGCUAGCUCCA